AUGACAAUCUUGGCGUGGAACUGUCGAGGCCUCGGGCAACCUCGCACAGUUCAAGAGCUCGUGUGCUUAGUGCACACCUACAAGCCCAAGCUCGUCUUCCUCUCGGAAACUCGGCAAAAUAACAAGUAUGUUAGCAGCCUGAAAUGGAGGCUUGGCCUUCGUCACUGUAUCACGCAACCCGGUACUGGUAAAGGUGCCGGUAUUGCUCUUUUUUAUGAUGAGAGUGUUGAAAUAAAGAAGAUUGCCGUGGGGGCGAGAUAUAUUGAUGUGUUGAUCCGAUUGAAUCCACAAGGCAUACAACGGAGAGGAACGUUUGUAUAUGGUGAACCUAAAGCGCACGAACGCCACCAUAUGUGGACUUUGCUGAGAAGGAUUAAGGAUACAAGCUCUUUACCAUGGCUGAUGAUGGGUGACUUCAACGAAACAAUGUGGCAAGCUGAACACUACUCGAGAGCAAAGAGACCAGAGAGAAACAUGGAAGAUUUUAGGUAG
rnacentral:rRNA from 1 species